UACGUAGGGGGCAAGCGUUGUCCGGAAUCAUUGGGCGUAAAGCGCGUGUAGGCGGCUGGCUAAGUCCGCUCUGAAAGCCCGGGGCUCAACCCCGGGAGGCGGGUGGAUACUGGUCAGCUCGAGUCCGGAAGAGGAGUGUGGAAUUCCUGGUGUAGCGGUGGAAUGCGCAGAUAUCAGGAGGAACACCGGUGGCGAAGGCGGUUCUCUGGGCCUUACCUGACGCUGAGGAGCGAAAGCGUGGGGAGCGAACAGG
rnacentral:rRNA from 1 species